GUACAUGUAGAAACAUUUGAAUCGGGUGAUUAGCCAUCAUCAGCAAGAUAUUGCGACUCUCAAAUCUGAAUUUUAAUCAUUUCCAAGAGCCUUCUCAAUGUCAACGCAUCUGCACCCAAAAUAAUAAAAAUAAAGGCACCCACACCAAAUGAGCCUAUAGGAACAGUGAGUGCACCAAGGUCUGCCAUUACCCAAGUGGAAAUUAAUUGACUUGAAAUUGAACCAUUUACAUAUAUAAGAGGAUGCUUCCCGGCAACUGAACAUAGAUAAAUAUAUACCAUAUCUCAGACUAAAAAGACAAUGGCUGCUGGUUCUGGUUUGAAUUGGUAAACAGCACCACUGUUUUAAGCGCCUAGGAAACCUUGCAUACGAUCUGCACAACCAUUAGAUGACAAUUCUGCACGUACAAAAAGUUUGAAAUGGUUGCUAAUAACUUCGGGGACGGGAUCAUCCAACUCCACUCGCCAAAGCUUCUAUCCUUCCUUCUGCUCUUGUUUCUGUUAAACCCUUCUGCAACUCCUUUAACCUUCAACUUCCCCAGCUUUUCCAAUGGCACCACCAACAUAUCCCUAGAAGGAGAUGCAUAUAUUGAUGGCAAAUUCAUCAAACUCACCAAAAAACCCGAAGAGCUUAAAGUGGCUGAGAAUAUCGGUCGAGCAACCUACCACAAACCGUUCCUUCUCCAGGAAAAAGCCACCGGAAAACUGGCCGAUUUCACCACACAUUUUACUUUCAUCAUUGAUUCCGGCCACGGUGAUGGGAUGGUGUUCUUCCUAGCCCCAAAUGGAUCUUUAGUCAACAUUGCAAUAGGGGGUGGUGGCACACUUGGGCUCCCCGUUGAAGACUUGCCAGGAGGCAUGUCUAGAACUCAGUAUCCAUUUGUGGCAGUGGAGUUUGAUAUCUUCCAGAAUACACAGCCAAGCAUCCAGGAUCCCCCGAGCGAUCAUGUAGCAAUCGACAUCAACUCUCUCAAGUCUAAUAUUACCACGACUUGGAAUGGUGGUAUUGACAAAGCAAAACUAAACACCGCUUGGGUUAGUUAUAACUCUAGCUCAAAAAAUCUCAGUGUUGCCUUUACCAGUUUUCUAAAUGGUACAAAUGGCACCCAACUGGAGAUAAUCAGAUAUCUUUCUUACAUGGUUGAUCUGAAACAAUACUUGCCGGAUUGGGUCAUUGUUGGAUUCUCUACUGCAACGGGCAAUGACAUUGCUGUGCAUAGGAUCGUCUCGUGGAAUUUCACAUCAACAGCUCUGGUUGAUGAGACUACAAUGAACAACACACAAGUAUUUCCUCCGCCAAGCCCUAGUGCUAAUCCCAAGUCAGGAACUUCCAACAUACGACUCCCCAUUGGGUUGGGUGUUGGUGGAUGUAUUAUCUUGGCUGGUGGAUUGGCUUUGGUUUGGUUCAUGUUCAUUUUUCGGAAGAGAAAGGCAGUUGGGGAAAGUGAUGAGAAUCCUGUUGUCAACUGUUUAAUUGACGAUGAAUUUGAAAAGGGAACUGGCCCGAGGAAGUUUUCAUACAGGGACUUAGCUCGAGCAACGAAUAAUUUUCAUGAGGGGGAGAAGCUGGGAGAGGGAGGAUUUGGAGGGGUUUACAUAGCCUUUAUAAAAAACUUGAACUCAUAUGUUGCAAUUAAGAGGAUAUCCAAUGGAUCUAAGCAAGGUUUGAAGGAGUAUGCAUCAGAAGUAAGAAUUAUCAGUAGACUUAGGCAUCGGAAUUUGGUGCAACUCAUUGGUUGGUGCCAUGAAAAAAGAGAACUACUACUCGUCUACGAGUUCAUGCCCAACAGCAGUUUAGAUUCCCACCUAUUCAAAAUAAAUAGCUUGUUAAGUUGGCAAAUCAGAUACAAAAUAGCUCGAGGUUUGGCCUCCGGCUUAUUCUAUCUACACGAAGAAUGGGAACAAUGUGUGCUGCACAGGGAUAUCAAAUCCAGCAACGUUAUGUUGGAUUCAAAUUUCAAUGUGAAACUUGGUGAUUUUGGAUUAGCUCGACUUGUGGACCAUGGAAAACAGUCACCAACAACAAUUGUGGCUGGAACUAGAGGCUACAUGGCUCUGGAAUAUGUUACUACAGGAAAGGCUAGCAAGGAAUCAGAUGUCUACAGCUUUGGAGUGGUUGCUUUGGAAAUAGCUUGUGGGAGAAAACCGAUCGAUCUCAAUUUAGAAAGUAGUGAAAUCGAAAUGGUGGAGUGGGUUUGGGAGCUUUAUGGAGAAGGGAAAGUUAUUCAAGCAGCCGAUCCAAAACUCUAUGGACAAUUUGAUGAGAAUCAAAUGGAGAGCUUGAUGACUGUUGGGUUGUGGUGUGCUCACCCAGAUUAUAGAUUCAGACCUUCAAUACAACAAGCGAUUCAAGUGCUUAACUGGGAAGUUCCAUUGCCUAUUCUCCCAUCAAAGAUGCCAGUUGCCACCUAUUUUGCACCUCCAACAUCACUUUCAAUGUUGUCCAAUCAAACUACUACUUCUGAAAGAGGUCAAACUGAGUCAGGCUGCUAUAGGUAUAGCACCAAUUCUUUCCAAAUCACCCCAUAUUCUACACCGCAAUUCUUGUCAACCGAGACUGAAGCCCAAAUUUUGUCAGGAUACAGUUAUAGCACCAAUUCCUCACAACUCACUGCAUCUCCUACAACGCAGUUCUUGUCCAUCGACACUGAAGCACAGUUCUUGUCCACGGACACUGAAGAACAGUUCUUGUCCAUGGACACUGAAGAACAGUUCUUGUCCAUCGACACUGAAGAACAGUUCUUGUCCAUAGACAUGUAUAUAUUCAAAGUCUUUUGUAAUUUACUUUGUAUUUCAUCAUUAAACUUAGGUACUUGACAGCAUAUUGCUGUAAUUAUGUUGUAAUUAUUUUAUUUGUUUACAACUUAGUGUUUUGAGAUAUAUCUUUAGGCAGAUUUUUUUUUUCUUUGGACGAAAUCUUUAGGCAGAUAUACUAACACAGAAAGAGUGCAGAAAGACUAAUCCUGAAAGAGUGCAGAAAGACUAAUGCUGAAAUAGUGCAGGAUAACAAACAGGGAGUCAGAGUAGUGUAUAUAUAUAUAUAUAUAUAUAUCAAACAGGGAGUCAGAGUAGUAUAUAUAUAUAUAUAUAUAUGUAGAGUAAUACAUAUGUACGGAUUAUACAUAAAAUCUGGUUCUUCAUUAACAUAGUGAUGGAUGUCUGUUAAAUUAUCCACAUUGACAUUCAUUCUCUGCUGUUUGUUUGUUGGAAAAAAUAAAAGUGUAGGAAAAGCUUUCUUACUUUUUCUGUUGUCUUCUCUACACCAGGCAAUGAUGUGUGAAAAGAGGGGUUGGGGGAGAGAAAGGGUGAGAGAGGGGUUGUUAAGGCUGAGAGGAAUUUCUUUUUAUUUUUCAGUUUUAAAAAAAAAAUUAAGAAUUUUUAUUUUAUUUUUUCACACAUUAGCAUAAAGUGGCACUCCACUUGCCACGUCGCCAAUUUAACAAAAAUUAAAAUUGUGAAGUUGACGGAAUGUGUAAUUUGGUUAAAUUUAAAAAGGUUGAGUUUCAUAUUGAUGAAAUUGAAACCUCGUGACCCAUUUUAAUAAUGACCCCAAACCUGUGAGGGUAAAAUGUCGUUAAUCCAUUUCAUAUCUUUUACUUUUAAUAUCAAGCCAUUCAAGUUGGAAUGUUAUGGUCGUGCAUGAAAAUUUCUAUCUCAACUUAUCUCUUUCAUCCAUGUUGACCAAAACAAAACGAGGUGAUGAAACUCAAAUCUGACUCGAGCCUUUUCAAUGUCAAAUGUCACUGAAUUUGGACAAAAAAAUUUCACCUGCCACACCAUAUGAGCUGGCCAUUCUUUAAAUUAGACAAAGAAAUUUUAGACCGUCACCAUGGUCAUUGGUCUCCUGCCAUCACCACUCUCUUAAAUAUUGACCAACCACUACUUGAAUAUGACAAUGAAUUAAGAAAAGUCACCUUUGCAAACAACAAAACCUAUGACACAACAAAAUACAAGAUUCAAAGAGUCUAAAUUUCAUGUGUAUAUUUUUAUUGCAUACCACGUCAAACUGAAAACUCAAUGCAACUAAACAUACAUAAAUACCAUGUCAAGCUAAAAACUCAAUUGCUUGUUUGCUAAAGUCUCUGCAAAAGGUUAGAUAUGGCACUCCAAUCACUAAACCUUCUUCUAUCCCUCCUCUUCUUUCUGUUCAGCCCUCUUGCAACUCCUUUAACCUUCAAUUUCCCAAGCUUUUCCAAUGCCACCACCAACAUAUCCCUCGAGGGUGUUGCUGAUAUUGAUAGCAACCUCAUCAGACUCACCAAAAACCCCGGAGAAAAUGGGAACGUCGGUCGAGCCACCUAUCAUGAGCCCUUCCUCCUCCGGGAAAAUGCCACUGGAAAACUAGCUGAUUUUACCACAACUUUCGCAUUCAUAAUAGAUUCAGGCCACGCAGAUGGGAUGGUGUUCUUUGUUGCGCCAAACGGAUCCUUACUCAACAGCGCAGUAGGAAGUGGUAGCAAGCUCGGCCUCCCUGUCGAAGACCUCCCCGGCGACAUCUCAAGGACUCAGUAUCCAUUUGUGGCAGUGGAGUUUGAUAUCUUCAAGAAUCCAGUGCCAACCAUCAAUGAUCCUGACGGCGAUCAUGUUGGUAUCAAUGUCAACUCUCUCAAGUCUAAUAUUACCAUGCCUUGGAAUGGUGGUAUUGAGGAAGGAAAACAAAACAGUGCUCGGAUUAGUUAUAACUCUAGCUCAAAAAAUCUCAGUGUUGCCUUCACAAGUUUCCAAAAUGGUACAAAUGGUACCCAAGUUGAGGUAAUCAAUUAUCUUUCUUACAUGGUUGAUCUGAAACAAUACUUGCCGGAUUGGGUCAUCAUUGGGUUCUCUGCUGCAACAGGUAAUGAGGUUGCUGUGCAUAAGAUUGUCUCAUGGAAUUUUACUUCAACUGCUCUGGUUGAUGAACCCAAGUCAGGAAAUGCGAAUGCCAAUAUAGGACUCCCAAUUGGUUUGGGUGUUGGUGGGUGCCUAAUCUUGGUUGCUGGGUUGGGUUUGGUUUGGCUCAUUUUUUGGAAGAAGGGGAAAGCAGCAGGGGAACAUGAUGAGAAUCCUUUCACUAAUAGCUUUAUUCAUGAGGAACUUGAAAAGGGCAUUGGCCCAAGGAAGUUUUCCUACCGCGAGUUGGCUCGAGCAACGAAAAAUUUUGAAGAGGGAGAGAAACUCGGAGAGGGAGGAUUUGGAGGUGUGUAUAAAGGCUUCAUAAAAGACUUAAACUCACAUGUUGCUGUUAAGAGGAUAUCCAGCGGAUCUAAACAAGGAUUGAAAGAGUAUGCAUCAGAAGUGAGGAUCAUUAGUAGACUAAGGCAUCGGAAUUUGGUGCAACUCAUUGGUUGGUGCCAUGAAAAAAAAGAACUCAUGCUUGUCUAUGAGUUCAUGCCCAAUGGCAGUUUAGAUUCUCAUCUUUUCAAAGAAAAAGGCUUGUUAACUUGGCAGAUAAGAUACAGUAUUGCUCAAGGUUUGGCCUCUGGGUUAUUUUAUCUACAUGAAGAAUGGGAACAGUGUGUGCUCCACAGGGAUAUUAAGUCCAGCAACAUUAUGUUGGAUUCAAAUUUCAAUGUGAAACUUGGGGAUUUUGGGUUAGCUCGACUUGUGGACCAUGGAAAACAGUCACAAACAACAAAUGUUGCUGGAACCAGGGGUUAUAUGGCUCUGGAAUACGUUACCACAGGAAAGGCUAGCAUGGAGUCCGAUAUCUACAGCUUUGGAGUCGUUGCUUUGGAAAUUGCUUGCGGGAGGAAACCCAUUGAUCUCAGUUUAGAAAAUAGCCAAAUCGAAAUGGUGGAGUGGGUGUGGGAGCUUUAUGGAGAAGGCACACUUAUUCAAGCAGCCGAUCCAAAACUUUGUGGACAUUUUGAUGAGAAACAAAUGGAGUGCUUGAUGAUUGUUGGGUUGUGGUGUGCUCAUCCGGAUUAUAAAUUCAGACCUUCAAUACAACAAGUGAUCCAAGUGCUUAACUUUGAGGUUCCAUUGCCCAUUCUCCCAUCCAAGAUGCCGGUGGCCACCUAUUUUGCUCCUCCAACAUCACUCUCAACGGUGACCACUGACACUACUAGUUCUGAAAGAGGUCAAACAGAGUCUCACAACGCGGUUAUAACACCGAUUCCUCACAAUUUACCCCAUCUUCUACAACAAAAUUCGUCUCCAUCAAAAACAUUUCAGUCUCCACGAUAAUUCUUAAGUUAAUAAUUGUGAUAAACUGUAUUAAAAUAUUUUGGAAUUUAUCUUUCAAUUGUAUUCAUUUAAUAGUUGACAGCAUUAUUGUGUUCAUGUUGUAAAUACUUUAUGAAGUUUUAACUAUUUUCUUUGGAAAGGCUUCUUUCACUGUAUACUGCUUUCUGUUUGUUUUCUCCUCUUUAACCAUGUUAUGUAUGACUGCUUCAGGACCACAACACUCAACGUUCAUGUCUUUUAUAUGAGUAUUAAUGCUGUUGUGAAUUUUUCGAUGAGGCCUUUCUUGGUGUUGGUGUGAAGGUAUCUCUAUUAUUUUGGGAAUUGGCACUUUCUUUUUAAUCUUUAUAUUAUACAUCAUCGUAAUGUCGUUUAAAAUUGUCCAAAGAUUGAUCUUAGUGAUCAUCUGUGAACUAAGAUACAGAAAAUAUAAUAAGUUUUGUGCAACUGUGUCUCACUCAUAAACUUUCACUCAAAGAAAAUGUCAAAAUACAGCGCAUGCUCUUGCCUAGCUCAUUACAAUUUCAAUCUUUUUUAUUUAUAAGCUUAGUCCAUGCACAAAGCAGAACAUUCAAAAUUCAAACUCAGAAAUUAUUGAGAGAGACAAUAAAAAAAAAUGACCAACAAACAAGCUAAAAAUCAAACUGAAAUAAGAUGGGAAGAGAAAAUGGGGUUGAAGUAAAAAUACCAGAAAUGUUGAUGGCUGCAUUAAGCUCCUAACGAUUAGCCACCAUUUUUAUAAUCUGAAAGUUCCUGGUGCAGAGUGAUGAGCUUGACUCGGCCAAUAACAUGCUCCUGACUC
rnacentral:lncRNA from 1 species